GAAUGUUCCCGAGGCUCUGCAGCGGUAGCGGCAGUGCCUCGGCGGCCACCUCCUUUGUUCACUCGAACUCGUCACGGUCUACCCAGCCCGCAACCAGACCGUAGGACCAGGAACCUUGGAGAAGGCAGGCAGGAGAAACACCCAGGGCUGACAGAUUCCAGGCGGAAACAAGGUCCUUUCUUCAUGUCACAGCUGCACUUAUUCCCUGCUGGAUGUUUAAGGUGUCAGCUGGAGCCUGUCCAUGGUGACGCCUGAGGUUUCUGAGUUUCAGCCCAAGGAGGCAGCCCUGUGGCCAGAACCAAGUGCCGAGGAACUGUCCCCCACAGGAGUCAGCCAUCCCUCACGCCUGCCAGCGACCUGUGAGUGUGGAAGCAGAGCCUCCUGCCUGGCUACACUGCGGAUUGUGAGAGCUUGGGUGGGCCGUCUGGGCCUCAGAAGGUAUGGUAAUAAAUGCCGGCUGGGCUGUCGAAGGCUGUGAGUCGGGGGAUUUGGUGUGUAGCAGUGAGAACCCCUGCAGCUCUGCACCCUCUGGUCCAGAGGCCCUGAACGGCUGGGCCCCAACUCCUCUGUCAUCGUGAGCUCAGAACCAGGCGUCUAUAGUUUUCCUGUUCCCAGUUCCCGCCCUGCCCCACGUUCCUGGUGAACCCUCUCAUUUUCAAACCCUGGCCCCCGUCAUGGACGUCCUCCGUCUGUGGACAGGGACAGUGGAAGGUACCUGCCGGGCCCCCGUCACUCGUCUCAGGCCACCUGUACCCUCGCCCACUUCUGCGCCACAGGCAGAGCAAGGCCGCUCUUGUCAUCUGCCUCCUCGCUGCGACUCCCCCGCCUCUGGGGCUCCAUUCUGUCCAGUGGCUGCUCCUGUCUGCUGCUCGGCCCUGUUAGGCUGUCUCCACGCCCCAGGGUCUAGAAGAAAACAGUAAUCUCGAACCACCUCCCCGAACCUGUCUCUUUUCUCCCCUCCACAAGUAAAUUUCUUGAACAAGCUUAUUGUCUACACGUGCUGUCUUUACAGAGUGACACCUGCUCAUCCUCCACCUGUUCAGCCCAGGCUCUGCCUUUGAAGUCCUCCUAGCCCACACAGCAGAGGUUCCUGGUGGCAUCGUGAUAGGGAGGCCACACUCGAUUUGUGUUGCAGGAGUCCUGGUUGGAUCUUAAUGUCCCCUACGAGCAUGUGUGUUGAGUGAGGCCUCUUUGAAGUCCACGGCUCCACCUGGAUCAGUUUCAUCUCCAUCUCUGUCUUUUGGAGGGAUAAAUCCGGAAUUUGCCUCUAGGAGGCUCGCUGUGUAUUGCAUCUUCUACCACCAGGUGUCGCCACAGCACACUCACACGUUUCUCCAUUGGCUUCAAAUCUUGCUUCAGAUUCUUGCUGGAUCCAGAGGACCCACUUCUCUCCUUUGCUUCCUCAUGUUGCUAUAUUCCAGUGUCUGGACACCAAAUCUCAGAGACUGUUUUUAUGCUGUUCACCACUCUGCCAUCUUUUGUUCCCUCUCUUCCUUUUCAAGGCUAAUAUUCCAUUAAAGCGGGACCCUCUUAUUCACGCUGAGGAAAGGAAUGGAAGCCUUCACUCUGGUAAGCCAGACAUCUUUGAGCUCAGUCCACCAGUGGUGCUCGGCUCUGGCAGCAAAUCAGAAUCACCCAGGGCCCGGUGCGCACUGAGCGCCUCCUCUACACCUGAGCUGCAGCCACAGCCCGCCUGGGUGUCUUUUCCUAAAGCACUGGCACCUGAGCUCCCUUCCCACUCAUUCUGAUUGAUGCUAAGUGAUUAGGACCGGAACCAGGCCAAACUUCCUCAGUGACUUCUGCUGAUCACCCCCAGGCGAUUCCAACAUGCAGCCAUGGGGGGGCACCGAAGACCUGGAGGGCGAAGGUCACCCUCAUCUGCCCCUGGUGUUCAUUCAGGUCUGAGAGGAGAGUUAACGAAUGGAGCCUGGAGCGGGCAAGGUGCUGCGUGGUGCUGAUAGGUCACAGCUGCCCACCUAGCCGUGAAGUUGAUACAUCUGGGCCCCAUGUUUGUAGCUGUUUUCCCAUCCUAGACUUUGCUGCCAGCAAGGUCCGGGAGUCUGCCAGGAACCAGUGUUUAGGAUCAGCGUAAGUGAGACGACACGGGGUCUUCUCCGCCUUCACCCCAACUCCUCGCGUGCCAGCCUUGUACAAAGUACACAAACCCCUGAGCCUACCCCUCGCGUCGUGGUCAUCGUGGGCGCUGGAGCGCGCAGGGUGGGACUGCAGUUGGCUUCUGCAUCCCUCUGUACUGGCCGAGAAACAGGCUUACGGAGAGGAAGUAUUUUUCCCAACACCAAAAUACCAAGAGCAGGAGGCGGAAAGGAGCCCAGGCCUCCACUGUGCCUCAGUGGCUGAAAGGAAGCGGGUGGCCGACCCUUCAGGCCGCCUUCCGACGUCCCGGAGUGCUACCGCUGAGGCAGCCAGGCCCUGGAUCGCCCCUCAGGCCUUGGGAGGUGGCAGUGACCCCAACAGGUGAAGCUUCCUGCCCCAGUGUCAUUGUAGAGGGAAGAGCCAACUGACAAGGUAGGGCAAGGACACCCAAGGCCACCAGCAAGUUUCUGCAUGUGAACAUGUCUAGUAAAUGGCCUAGAGAGAUCUUAAAAAGACAACCAAAGAACCUGAAUCUUCAAGAGUCAAGAGCAUGGAGAAUGAAGCAAGGAAAACGCAAAGAGGGCGGUGACACAUACAGGACAAGGGUACAAGGGAGGCAGCAGAACCACUCCGCCGAACCAUAACUGGGAGAAUUUGGCUUUCCUUCUGCGCCUGAGACAGCAGCCCAGUCUUCUGCGCCCCAGAGCCCCUUGCUAGCCUGCCUCACUGAGGGUGGUGUCACAAGGACCCUCGAGCUAAGGCUGAGCAAGGUAGUCACCAGCCAAAGGGCUCCAAGGUCAUUGUUCACUGCUGCUGAGAUCUGCAGGAUGCUUUUGCCUGGCCACAGCUGUGACUCAACGAUCAGUCUGUGUGAUUGCUGGCGGGCUGGAGCCAGACUGCUCUCACCAACAGGUAUCUGUCUUAAUCACAUUUUUCAGGCUUGGAUAUCAGCGUGACCUGAUCCUGAGAUAGCCAGCAAUUUGCCUGCUAGAGCACUUUUUUGAUUUGUGAGCCAAUCAAUCCUGAGUCCAUAGCUCUCACUGGUCUCCUGCCACCAGGCUCCUGCAAUCUGGGACAUUAAAUCAUGUCCUAACCACCCCAGGUCCCAUACUGAGCAACUAGGGGCCACCCCUGUACUCCAGAGCCUGGGUGGGAUUAUUCAAGCUAACAUCCAGUGCUAACCUGCCCAGCUAACCUGUUUACCCCGCCCCGCCUGUUCCUUCCACAAUACAGGCUUCUGGCCGCCUGUGUUCUCCCUUACAUGGCUCCUGGCUGACCCGGUGCUCCAUGGGUGGCCUGAGUGCUGGCUGUGGUUCCUGUUUCUGGGACCUGUGAAUAGGAAACCAUCCCGCAUGACAGUCAUUUCUAUGUCCAUGCAUCUUACUGUGUCCGAUUAAAAUAAAUCCCAGGUACAUUUUAAAACAGUG